rnacentral:snoRNA from 1 species
GGAUUUAUGAUGAGCUGUGUUUACUGAGCAUGAUGAAAUGAGGCUCAAAGUGAUGAUUACUCUGAAAUCU